GAUGAACGCUGGCGGCGUGCCUAAUACAUGCAAGUCGAGCGAACAGACGAGGAGCUUGCUCCUCUGACGUUAGCGGCGGACGGGUGAGUAACACGUGGAUAACCUACCUAUAAGACUGGGAUAACUUCGGGAAACCGGAGCUAAUACCGGAUAAUAUAUUGAACCGCAUGGUUCAAUAGUGAAAGACGGUUUUGCUGUCACUUAUAGAUGGAUCCGCGCCGCAUUAGCUAGUUGGUAAGGUAACGGCUUACCAAGGCAACGAUGCGUAGCCGACCUGAGAGGGUGAUCGGCCACACUGGAACUGAGACACGGUCCAGACGCCUACGGGAGGCAGAAGUAGGGAAUCUUCCGCAAUGGGCGAAAGCCUGACGGAGCAACGCCGCGUGAGUGAUGAAGGUCUUCGGAUCGUAAAACUCUGUUAUUAGGGAAGAACAAAUGUGUAAGUAACUAUGCACGUCUUGACGGUACCUAAUCAGAAAGCCACGGCUAACUACGUG
rnacentral:rRNA from 1 species